rnacentral:rRNA from 1 species
UACGUAGGGGGCAAGCGUUGUCCGGAAUCAUUGGGCGUAAAGAGCGUGUAGGCGGCCAGAUGAGUCCGCUGUGAAAUCUCGAGGCUCAACUUCGAGCUGUCGGUGGAAACUGUCUGGCUAGAGUCCGGAAGAGGAGAAUGGAAUUCCUGGUGUAGCGGUGAAAUGCGCAGAUAUCAGGAAGAACACCCGUGGCGAAGGCGGUUCUCUGGGACGGUACUGACGCUGAGACGCGAAAGCGUGGGGAGCGAACAGG